AACUUUCGGCAACGGAUCACUUGGCUUUUGCAUCGAUGACGAACGCAGCGAACGUGUGAAACGUAAUGUGAAUUGCAGAAUUCAGUGAAUCAUCGAAUCUUUGAACGCAUCUUGCGCUCCUUGGUAUUCCGAGGAGCAUGCCUGUCUGAGUGUCGUGAAGUAACCUCAAUUUCAAUCUUUUUGUUUGAAAUUGGAUUUGGACGUUGUUGUGGAUGGAUCACAACUCGUCCUAAAUACAUUAGCGAUCCGCCUUUGAUCACUCGCAAUGUGAUAAGAAAAAAGCAUUGCUGGGGAAUCAUGUCAGGGCGUUGCUUCCAACCGUCGAAAGACUUUUGUGUCAUUUGACCUCAGAUCAGGUAGGACUACCCGCUGAACUUAAGCAUAUCAAUAAGCGGAGGCU
rnacentral:misc_RNA from 1 species